rnacentral:misc_RNA from 1 species
UGUGGGAGCUGGCUUGCCUGCGAUAACGGUGGGUCAGCUAAAACAAUGUUGGCUGUUACUCCGCUAUCGCAGGCAAGCCAGCUCCCACA